rfam:Yokenella regensburgei ATCC 43003 genomic scaffold Scfld157, whole genome shotgun sequence.
GGGUGCUUGAGGCUGUCUGGUCUCAGGCCGCUGGCAGGAGCCAGAUAGUGAAAAGCCCCAGGUGAUAGUUCUAUCAACCCGGGGCUAACACUCCAAACCAUAGCAGGUUGGAUGUUAGUCUCUUCUUAGCAAGGAGGCAAUAACAUGCUGACGAAG